GAGGGACGGAGCGCUGGGCACAGCUGGGCCCUCGCCUCCCCUCCUGCCUUCGGGAGACUGGGAGGGGCUGGGCAUGUCCAGGAGGGACAGAGCUGGGGAGGGUCUGGAGCACAGGGCAGCUGGGUGGCACUGUGGUGACAGGGAGAGGGGACACAGGGCAGGGAAAGGGGGCACAGGGCAGCUGGGUGGCACUGUGGUGACAGGGAGAGGGGACACAGGGCAGGGAAAGGGGGCACAGGGCAGCUGGGUGGCAAUGUGGUGACAGGGAGAGGGAACACAGGGUGGCACUGUGCUGACAGAGAAAGGGGACACAGGCAGCUGGGUGGCACUGUGGUGCAGGGAAGGGGACACAGGGCACAUGCUGCAUGCAGGAGGAUCAGUGUGCUGGGAGGUGCUGUCAGAGUUUGGUGCUUGCCUGCCCUGUAAUCUGUCCGUGCCAGGGUGCAGCCACGAGCUGUGUUGAGAUCAGAACUUUUGCUCUUCCUUUACAAGGAGGUUGGGAUAAAUCCUGGGCUGCACUUUGGAGCAGGCUGGUGGCUGCCAGCAUUCAGUAUUUGAGGGGAUGCUUUCUUUGUACCUGAGAGUCUGCAGACAGGGCCAUUGCUGGGUUGUGCUCUGCUGGAAGAUUUUUUCCAGAUGCAAUUGUUCUCUAGGAGGUAGAGAAGCAAAUCACACCAAGUAGUUGAAAGUAGUACUGUGAUUAUUUAUUUGUUUUUAUACUCUGGUGUGUAGGGCCUGGUGGGGAGAAUUGAUAUUCUCUGUUAGGAGUUCACAGCAGUCUGAUCUUUGUGCAGAAAAGGUGCAAGAGACAGGAAUACAUUAUGUGUCUGUGUGAGCAGUGUUUGUUGUUCUGUUUUAUUGGUGGCUUGUGAAAAUUUCCUCAGCUGUGCUUUCCCUCUUCAUAAAUCAGCAGAUGAGCUGCAGCUGAAAUGGGAGGUAGGAGAUGGAUACAUGCAAUACACAAAGAGAGAAGAUGCUCUCCCUCCUGAUAUUUCUUCCUUCCCUUCUAGCACAUCCAUUCUCUGCUCCUUGCCUGUUCAGUGGGACAAAGGCUGGUUUGAAGUUUUCCACCCAUGAUGUGGCCUCUCCUCCCUUCUGUCCCAUUCAGCAGCAUCCUGGAUUGCUUUUGGUCACGUUGGCUCUCCCUGUUCUCUCACCCAGCCCAUUUCCCAGAGGUGGUUCUCAUUUCUGACCUUGCCCCCUUGCCCCUUUGUUAUCUUGACUAAGAACUUCUUACACCCCGUGGUUUUGGGAUCCCUUUUGUGUAGCUGCCUGACAAACUACUGAGUUCUGUUCUGUUCUGUCUCUUGGUUGCACCAUUAAGUUAACACAGCCAAUAAAAUCUUUGUGUGUUCUCCAAGGAA